AUUGCCAACGGACGUAAGCGUAAAAAUACUAUCCACUCUCUUAAAGCUGACAAGGUGGAAAUAGAGGGUACAGAUAAUCUGAUUGCCCAUGCUACUGAUUUUUAUAAGGAACUUUUUGGCCCAGCUCAGGGCAACCAUUUUCACUUGGAUCCUAAUACUUGGUCCGAGAGAGAAAAGCUGAGUGAGGAUGAUAAUAGAAAUCUUUGUCGCGAAUUCACAGAAACUGAAGUUAGAGAUGCUCUCUUCUCUAUGGUCACCAAUAGGGCACCUGGACCGGAUAACAUUCCUGUCGAACUUUAUCAAAUAUGUUGGGAUAUAGUUAAGGAUGAUAUCAUGUCCCUUUUUAGACACUUUCAUAAUGGGACGCUUGAUGUUCAACGUCUUAAUUAUGGAGUGAUCACUUUACUGCCCAAAGUGUCGGGAGCUGACAAAAUUCAGCAGUUUAGGCCAAUUUGUCUCCUGAGGUGCCCAUAUAAGCUCAUUACUAAAGUAAUGGACCGUAGGGUGGAGGUAUAUGCUGAUAAGUUGAUUAGUCCCACCUAG
rnacentral:rRNA from 1 species